CCAAUAUAUUCUUACACCCACAAAGAAAGCAACUCAACCAGUGUUUGUAAGAGAAAAAUCAGUUGCUCGAAGAAAAUCAGGCGUUGUUUACAUUGUGUUAAGAUCCCACAAUGAGAUCUCUGAAACUUGGCUGUAUGUUUACAAUCGUUGUGUAGUGCUGUGAGAAGAUCUGAUUAGCCUUAGUACCAGCAUACUCUAAUGCAGGGACAGCAAAAUAACUCAUUAUUUAACAAAAUAAAGAUAUAUCUUUGUAAAUUAUUUUUAUCAAUUAUUUUUGCAGUUUGCGUUACGAGUUCGUGCAAUAUAUAUUAUUAUUUUCCUUGUUUUUAUAAUUAGGAAAGCCCCUGAUCAUGGUUGUCCUUUUAUGUAAAAAAAAAAAAAAAGUAAAUAAAAU